rnacentral:misc_RNA from 1 species
UGGUUCCCGCAUCGAUGAAGAACGCAGCGAAAUGCGAUACGUAAUGUGAAUUGCAGAAUUCAGUGAAUCAUCGAAUCUUUGAACGCACCUUGCACUCUUUGGUAUUCCGAAGAGUAUGCCUGUUUGAGUGUCGUGAAUCUCUCAACCCCCCUGUUUUGUAAUGAGACGGGCGUUUGGGCUUGGAUUAUGGCUGCCUGUCGGACCGUUAACUCGGAUCGGCUCAGCUGAAAUACACGAGCGCACCCAGCUUUGAAUAGCAGCGGCUUGACUCGGCGUAAUAAUAUUAUUCGCUGAUUACGUUGCAAUCAAUUUUCAAACCGAGGACGCUUCUAAUGCGACUAUCAGUCAUUUUUAUUUUAGACCUCAAAUCAGGCAGGACUACCCGCUGA